GUUACUAUCAGAAUUCAGUUUGUAUUGUAAGUGGACAUAAAUUAUCUUCAGCUGAGUCAUAUAGUUAUUAUAGGAUUUCAUAUAUUGAGAUAUUAUAAAUGAUCCAACCAGAAAGUACCUGAAAUAAUACACUGAGGCAACGAAGAGGCGGUGGUCAUCUCACGAAUACCAUCUAAUGUGAUUAUGUAAAGCUUGUUUUCAAGUUGGUUUUACUACAAUACUUUUAUUUGAAACUGGGCACAUCAGACAUUGUUAUAUGACAGACUUGGUCACAUCAUACGACUUUUUACUGCAAUAUAAUCAAAUAUAAUUAUUUUUAUUGAAAAAUAUUUUUUUUUUCAGCGUUAGAAUAAUUUAAUUUUAAGAUGCAUGUUAUAAAUGAAAUUAUUUUUCACAGCUUUGCAAACACGCAAAACUGUAAGUGGAUAUAAAUUAUCUUCAGCUGAGUCAUGCAGUUAUUAUAGAAUUUCAUACGAUGGUAAAAUAUUAUUUUGAAUAACUUUAGAAAUAAGUUUUUGAAUCAUUAUAUCAAAUCUAAAAAUUAUUUUACAUUUUAUUUAUUAAAUAAAAUACACCUAA